rnacentral:rRNA from 1 species
UACGUAGGGUGCAAGCGUUAAUCGGAAUUACUGGGCGUAAAGCGUGCGCAGGCGGUUUCGUAAGUCUGUCGUGAAAUCCCCGGGCUUAACCUGGGAAUGGCGAUGGAGACUGCGAGGCUAGAGUUUGGCAGAGGGGGGUAGAAUUCCACGUGUAGCAGUGAAAUGCGUAGAGAUGUGGAGGAACACCGAUGACGAAGGCAGCCCCCUGGGUCAAAACUGACGCUCAUGCACGAAAGCGUGGGGAGCAAACAGG